UGGGAAUUUUGGACAAUGGGCGAAAGCCUGAUCCAGCAAUGCCGCGUGUGUGAAGAAGGCCUUCGGGUUGUAAAGCACUUUUGUCCGGAAAGAAAUCCUUGGCUCUAAUACAGUCGGGGGAUGACGGUACCGGAAGAAUAAGCACCGGCUAACUACGUGCCAGCAGCCGCGGUAAUACGUAGGGUGCAAGCGUUAAUCGGAAUUACUGGGCGUAAAGCGUGCGCAGGCGGUUUGCUAAGACCGAUGUGAAAUCCCCGGGCUCAACCUGGGAACUGCAUUGGUGACUGGCAGGCUAGAGUAUGGCAGAGGGGGGUAGAAUUCCACGUGUAGCAGUGAAAUGCGUAGAGAUGUGGAGGAAUACCGAUGGCGAAGGCAGCCCCCUGGGCCAAUACUGACGCUCAUGCACGAAAGCGUGGGGAGCAAAACAGGAUUAGAUACCCUGGUAGUCCACGCCCUAAAACGAUGUCAACUAGUUGUUGGGGAUUCAUUUCCUUAGUAACGUAGCUAACGCGUGAAGUUGACCGCCUGGGGAGUACGGUCGCAAGAUUAAAACUUAAAUGAAUUGACGGGGUCAUAGCUGUUUCCU
rnacentral:rRNA from 1 species